rnacentral:rRNA from 1 species
UGAGGAAUAUUGGUCAAUGGACGGAAGUCUGAACCAGCCAUGCCGCGUGCAGGAUGACGGCCCUAUGGGUUGUAAACUGCUUUUAUUCGGGAAUAAACCUCUUUACGAGUAGAGAGCUGAAGGUACCGAAGGAAUAAGCACCGGCUAACUCCGUGCCAGCAGCCGCGGUAAUACGGAGGGUGCGAGCGUUAUCCGGAUUUACUGGGUUUAAAGGGUGCGUAGGUGGGCUUAUAAGUCAGUGGUGAAAUCUCCGAGCUUAACUUGGAAACUGCCGUUGAUACUAUAGGUCUUGAAUUACCUGGAGGUAAGCGGAAUAUGUCAUGUAGCGGUGAAAUGCUUAGAUAUGACAUAGAACACCAAUUGCGAAGGCAGCUUACUACAUAUAAAUUGACGCUGAGGCACGAAAGCGUGGGGAUCAAACA